rnacentral:rRNA from 1 species
AAACUUUCAACAAUGGAUCUCUUGGUUCCGGCNUCNAUGAAGAACGCACCGAAAUGCGAUAAUUAAUGUGAAUUGCAUAAUUCAGUGAAUCAUCGAAUCUUUUAACGCACAUUGCACCCCCUGGUAUUCCGGGGGGUAUGCCUGUCCGAGCGUCAUU